GGGAAGACCUGGCGGAAGUGAGGAGGAGCUUGGAACUCAGCUGUAAGGAGCUGAUUCAUGGCGGGCUUCCAUUGCGUCUUCUUUGAAGGCCCCGACCCCCGAGCUCAGCAUUGAGGAGUAAAGAUGCCCCGUCAGGAAUUGAAUCUCUUGCCACCCCUCGAGCCCGCCCGCCCGCCCUCGGCGCGUCUGGCUAACAUCCUCGCAGCUUGAAACGCGUACGCUUGAUAUUCAUUUUGCACGGAUGAGCGCGUCUGUCAAUAGCGGGAAGCGUAACUCUGUCUUCCAGACCGGCGUAAGCAUUCGCAGGUGACGCUCCCCUCUUGGCCCGUGCUUCAAUUCCCUGGCGGCGCGCCGUGCAAUGCGUGCUGGCUGGCUGCAAGCAAAGGAGAAGAAAGGGCUGUGUUCCAUUCGUGUGAAUUUCCAAAUGGCAGCAGGUGAAGACGGUCUGCAAAGACAUCUGUACUUUAUAUUCACCUUGUGAUCAUGAACACAUUUCUUGGAAUUCUUCAGCUCUGAUGUUGCAAUCGAAUGCAUUUUUGUGUCUGUUGUAAGACAUUUCAUCGUCUGGAGUUCAUAUGGAUUUGAUGAACUAAGUGGAAUACCGAUUCUGUUGUUGUCGCAUUCAUUAUAUUUAUUCAAUGUAUAUAUUUGGAUCAAUUCAAUUACUUGAGUGAGUAUUACAUUUUUGGGGAAUUAUCAUUUUCAUGAAAUAAUCAGAAUGGCAUUUUAUUUGUUUUAUUUUUAUUCUGAGCGUAUUACUCUAGGCAUGACAGCAUCAUAAAAAUGUCAUUCAUUCAUUGCUACUUUAAAAUAACACAGAAGUAAAGAAAUACUUUGCUUUU